rnacentral:rRNA from 1 species
GGUAGUCCACGCCGUAAACGAUGAAUGCCAGCUGUUGGGGUGCUUGCACCGCAGUAGCGCAGCUAACGCUUUGAGCAUUCCGCCUGGGGAGUACGGUCGCAAGAUUAAAACUCAAAGGAAUUGACGGGGGCCCGCACAAGCGGUGGAGCAUGUGGUUUAAUUCGGAGCAACGCGCAGAACCUUACCAUCCUUUGACAUGGCGUGUUACCCAGAGAGAUUUGGGGUCCACUUCGGUGGCGCGCACACAGGUGCUGCAUGGCUGUCGUCAGCUCGUGUCGCGAGAUGUUGGGUUAAGUCCCGCAACGAGCGCAACCCACGUCCUUAGUUGCCAUCAUUCAGUUGGGCACUCUAGGGAGACUGCCGGUGAUAAGCCGCGAGGAAGGUGUGGAUGACGUCAAGUCCUCAUGGCCCUUACGGGAUGGGCUACACACGUGCUACAAUGGCGGUGACAGUGGGACGCGAAGGAGCGAUCUGGAGCAAAUCCCCAAAAGCCGUCUCAGUUCGGAUUGCACUCUGCAACUCGAGUGCAUGAAGGCGGAAUCGCUAGUAAUCGUGGAUCAGCAUGCCACGGUGAAUACGUUCCCGGGCCUUGUACACACCGCCCGUCACACCAUGGGAGUUGGUCUUACCCGACGGCGCUGCGCCAACCGCAAGGAGGCAGGCGACCACGGUAGGGUCAGCGACUGGGGUGAAGUCGUAACAAGGUAGCCGUAGGGGAACCUGC